GCGUCAGUAAUGCGACGGAAUAAAGCGUGCCCUCCCGGAUAGAGUGAGAUGCGGGUUCGAGUCCCGCCUGACGCA